CAGGUCCAGGCAGCUAAGGCAACAGCAGCCGUUGUUUCUCUCAAGCAGAGCUUCCAGAAUGCCUAGGAGUCUCCUGCUGAUAACAGUAUGGAAUGCCUGGAACCAAACAGGUUGGAAGCCCUACCAGCUACAACAGCCAAGACUUAAAAGAAGGGCAGUUACCCCAGAACCUUCGGGCUAAGGGUAACUUCAGAACCGCAAGGCAAGGAAUGGAUGCCUCACUGUGUAUGCGUGCCGCACAGCCGAUCAUUAGGAAAGAAUAGUGUGGACAACUCCUCUCCUCUCCUUCCGCAGCUGUUUCCGCUGCUUAGCACUUUUGAAGUCGUUUUUGUCUGCUUACCUACAAACUUGGUUGUUACUCCUGGUGGAAUGACUGGACAACUGAAACCCAAGGACACUUCAGUCAAUCACUGAAGCAACAUUUGCACAAGAAAGACGAAUCCUUGUUGGCUGAAAACCUUACACUGACACCUUCCUCUUCAGAGUACAUACCCUUCGAGGUCCAAGCUCAUGUAUCUCUUCCUGGCAUGGUGCCUGCUCAUUAACUGGACUCGAAAGUUCAUCUGUGACGGACAACCAAAUGCUCAGACUAUGGGGAUACCUUCCUCCUACCCUCAAGGAGGCCUGGAAUCUCAUGGUGCCCAGCCUCUGUACUUGCUAGAAAGUGACAAAGCACAGGCUACCAAAAAGAGUCUGUCCAGAUGCCAGGACCAUAUCAGAACACAAGGUCACUUAUAGCUGCUGUCUUCCCCUGUUUCUGUAAGCCCAGAGGACAUCCAUUCUCUUUCCUUUGGAGAACACAGUAGAGGCUAACUCUUGGAAGUCCCAGGGGAGAUAACAGGAAAGCCCUUAUUAGCUUUGAUUCUUUGAUUCAAGAGCAGUUUCUAAAAUGACAGAGAUGUCAAGAAAUGACUUAAAAGACCAUAGUUGACAAAUACUGCUUUAUAAUACAUAAGUAGAAAGGAAGAAAGAUGAGAUAAAGAUUUUAGGAAUAAGAAAAUCCAAGUAUUGUUUGGAUUCUAAACACUGUCUUUGUGGUCUUGGGGUAGAAUGCCAAGAGGAAAAGGCCAGGAGGAAGACUGCCUAGAGACCUGGGUUGGUCAAAGGAAUGACUACUGGAUGACAGCGGUUAUACAAAAUGGAGUUAGAAGGCUUCCAGAUUAACUUCACUUUUCACUGGAAACGAGCAAAAAACUGUUUUCUAGCCUGUUUGGAUCUGAUGGAACAUGAGACAAAGGGCAGGGUUUGUAUGUAGCUCUCUACUUGGAUGGCUACCCCAAUGAGUGUUACCUGUUUGCAAUCUAUGUCUUUGUGCCUCUUGUUAACUUCCUUUGGUAUUUAACUUUUCCAGAUUCUGGUUCCCACUGAUGUGGCUAUGGCAAGUAUACAUAAGACAAAAUAAUGAGGUGUGUGUGCAUCAUGGCGAUGAGGGAGUGGUAAAAACAAUGACUGUCUCAAAAUGGUG